AAGUCGUAACAAGGUAACCGUAGGUGAACCUGCGGUUGGAUCAUUAAUAAAGAUUUGGUCUAGUGCCAAAUUAACAACUGUGUGCACCAUUGUCUGUCCUUGGUAGUUCGAGUGCGCUCCUGAGCUCAACACUCUGGGGCUGCCUACUCUGGCCUAGUGCUGGGGUUGGACUGCCGCCUUUAUGAAAAAACUUUUUUGUUUUAAUUUUUUUGUCUGAACGAAGAGUUAAUCUUUUUGAUUAAUGAUUUGAAUACAACUUUUGACAACGGAUCUCUUGGCUCUC
rnacentral:misc_RNA from 1 species